ACAAACUUGGUCAUUUAGAGGAAGUAAAAGUCGUAACAAGGUUUCCGUAGGUGAACCUGCGGAAGGAUCAUUAACAAUUGUCCACCACAAUGGAUAAUUUUUUAUCCAUAUCCACCUUGUGUGAAUUCACUGACUUGUUUAUUGGCAGGUUAGGAUGCUGUAUUGGUUUCCGUGGCCUGCUGCUGCUGGCCGGCCUACCAAUUUUAUUUUGUUUAAAACAUGUCUAAAUAAUUUCUGGUCUGAAAUUGUAUAUUAUAAUAAUAUAAUACAACUUUCAACAACGGAUCUCUUGGCUCUCGCAUCGAUGAAGAACGCAGC
rnacentral:misc_RNA from 1 species